UGGCGGACGGGUGAGUAAUGUCUGGGAAACUGCCCGAUGGAGGGGGAUAACUACUGGAAACGGUAGCUAAUACCGCAUAAUGUCUGCGGACCAAAGCGGGGGACCUCCGGGCCUCGCGCCAUCAGAUGAACCCAUAUGGGAUUAGCUAGUAGGUAAGGUAACGGCUUACCUAGGCGACGAUCCCUAGCUGGUCUGAGAGGAUGACCAGCCACACUGGAACUGAGACACGGCCCAG
rnacentral:rRNA from 1 species